rnacentral:rRNA from 1 species
GAUGAACGCUGGCGGCGUGCUUAACACAUGCAAGUCGAACGGAAAGGCCAGUGCUUGCACUGGUACUCGAGUGGCGAACGGGUGAGUAACACGUGGGUGAUCUGCCCUGCACUUCGGGAUAAGCCUGGGAAACUGGGUCUAAUACCGGAUAGGACAAUGGUUUGGAUGCCGUUGUGGAAAGUUUUUUCGGUGUGGGAUGAGCUCGCGGCCUAUCAGCUUGUUGGUGGGGUAAUGGCCUACCAAGGCGUCGACGGGGAGCCGGCCUGCGAGGGUGUACGGCCACAUUGGGACUGAGAUACGGCCCAGACUCCUACGGGAUGCAGCAGUGGGGAAUAUUGCACAAUGGGCGCAAGCCUGAUGCAGCGACGCCGCGUGGGGGAUGACGGCCUUCGGGUUGUAAACUCCUUUCGCUAGGGACGAAGCGUAUUUGUGACGGUACCUGGAGAAGAAGCACCGGCUAACUACGUG